CGCGCUGUGCUCGCGGCCGUCCGGCCCAUCCGGCAGCCCCGGGUCAGCCCCGUGAACUCAGCGGACCCGGGAUGGCCGAGCCGGCGGCCGGCGUUCUAUGCUCCGUUUGCUCACCCUGACCAUGGCACCCGCAUAAGCCGUCUGUGUGUUCCAGAGAGGCCAGCCCUGCAUGUGCUGUCCAUGAGCGUGCUUGGACCUAGGCAUAGCACCCAGCUGAGCGGGACAUUUACACGACUGCUGGGGUCGAGGGCAGAACAGGGGGAAACUGUGUUCUGGCGGAGGCACAGCACCCCGGAGCACCCAGAGCCUGAAGAACACCGGGAUGCCGCAGGCAAAGAAGAAGAUGAAGUAGGGGAUGAAGAAGGCUCCUGCAGAAGAGAGAGAGGCAGGGCUGAGCCACACCCGGGCUCUUCCUCAGCCUCCAUCCUUUCAGACCCUCCUCCCCCAACAAACCCGCCCUCCACCAUCCUGUUCUUAAUCUUCCUCCUGACACUUCCCAAGGGCCCAAUCGGCUGCCUCCUGCCUGCGUGCCGUCCUGAGUGUUAGGCAGGCACAGGUGGGAAUGUUCUGAUCUGAACCCUACACAGAAUGAGAAAGACCUUGGAAGGGAAAUUAGUGAAAACUUAGGUGGAAAUUCUAAUAUAUGCACUAUUUAUUUUCUUAGUGUGCUUUACAAAUCUAGUCAAUAGAUUAUUUUUGGAAUAAACACAUGGCUUCUGUAUAACUUGAUAUGCUUAUUAAACUCUUGGUACAUUUUAGAGAAAAACAAACAC
rnacentral:antisense_RNA from 1 species